rnacentral:rRNA from 1 species
CAGUAGCCGCGGUAAUACGGAGGGUGCAAGCGUUAAUCGGAAUUACUGGGCGUAAAGCGCACGCAGGCGGUUUGUUAAGUCAGAUGUGAAAUCCCCGAGCUUAACUUGGGAACUGCAUUUGAAACUGGCAAGCUAGAGUCUUGUAGAGGGGGGUAGAAUUCCAGGUGUAGCGGUGAAAUGCGUAGAGAUCUGGAGGAAUACCGGUGGCGAAGGCGACUCUCUGGUCUGUAACUGACGCUGAGGAGCGAAAGCGUGGGGAGCAAACAGGAUUAGAUACCCCGGUAGUCCCUGUCUCUUAUAC